rnacentral:lncRNA from 1 species
UUUUGCCCUGUUCUUUCACUCUCUAAUGCUCCUUUCUUCUUUCACUCUCUACUUCUCCCAUUAGUCAUAUGAAUUGUACUUCAUUUUUGAAAACACCUUCUACGGGAAAAUUGAAGUAACUUCAAUCUAGUGGUUAACAAAUUGUAAGUUAUCAAGAUUUAAUUGUGUUUAAUAAUUUAGUUCAUUAAUUUUUUUUCUAUGAAGUUCAACUUUAUCAAUUAAGGGGGGUUUCUAUUUUUUCUUCAUUUGCAUGUUCAAAUUUCAUUAUUUUUCAAUCCUAUUCAAGUUUAGUAUUUUGUUUUUUUGGGUUUUUUUUUUUUCAUAUAGUACAAGUUAGAUCUUUGAUUUGUAUAUAGUAAGUUAUCAAGAUUUAAUUGUAUUUAAUAUUCUAGUUCAUUAAUUUUUUUCUGUCAAGUUCAACUUUACUAAUUAAGGGGGUUUCCAUUUAUUCUUCAUUUGCAUGUUCAAAUUUCAUUAUUCUUCAAUCCUAUUCAAGUUUAGUAGUUCGUUUUUUUUUUAAUUUUUUUUCAUCUAGUACAAGUUAGAUUUUUGAUUUUCUUGUUACAAAAAAACAAAACAAAUCAUACAUGUGAAACCAAUUUAUCAUUUUUUUAAUGUUGUUUGUGUUCUUCAUGUUUUUCAAAUGUUGUUGAAGAAGACCAUUCAAAUAGUAGUGGGUUGAUGCAAAAAUAAGAAGAAAUAAGUGUGGUCUUUGUUUAUCUUAAAACAACUUUUUCAAAAAGGUCACCUCUUGUUGAAAUUGUAAAAUAGAAUCCAAGGCUUGUGAACUUAGAAUAUGAUAUCAUACAUGUAAAAAAAUUUAUCAUACAUGUGAAUCAAUAUAUAAUUAUGAUGUCAUACAUGUGAACCAAUUUAUCAUACAUGUGAACCAAUAUUAUACAUUCGAAUGUUUAUUGGAACGGCACACUUUCAUUAUACAACGAUUUGAACGUAUAACAACAUAUUAUACAUUCGCAAGUUUACUGGAUUGACAAAGUUUCAUUAUACAUAGGUUUUAAUGUAUGCUAACAUGUUGAGAUGUACUUUUAGUAAAGUCUAAUAUGAAUUGUUAGAUGUGUAAGUUACCCUCAUAUAUGUGCAACUCUAUAGCGGUUAGUGUUGAUUUUAUUAUACAUUAAUGCAAUUUGUUCGUAAAUGAAUAAGUUACCUGCAAUCAUGUCUAACAACUUAUAUUAAUUUUGACAUGUGCUACCAUACAUCUGAACCUACUGUCUCUGAACCAACAUAUCAUACAUCUGAACCUACGUCGUACAUCUAAACCAAUAUAUCAUAUAUCUAAACCUACUAUCAUACAUCUGAACCGACAUAUCAUACAUCUGAACCUACUGCCAUACAUCUGAACCUACAAUUAUACAUCUGAACCAACAUAUCAAAAGUGUGAUCUUUGUUUGUCUUAAAAUAUAUUCCAAGACUUAUAAAAAAAUAAAGAAGAAAAUAAGGAUUUGAAAAGUCUGGACAAAGACUUCCAAAAGAGGCAACAACCUUUCCAACCUUUCUAGCUAUCCAACUGCAAUCAUGUCAUGUAUAAUAACAUGUAACAUAAGUUAUUGUUAGAAACAUCAUAUCAACAACACAUAUUCUAUAUUUUCAUUAUGAGUUAAUUAAAUUUUUAUUACAUCCAGCACUGGACUAUAUUAUACAUUAAUGCAGUCUAUUUAUACAUGUAUAACUUAUCCUCAUACAUGACCAUAAGUUGUUUAAUGUUUGUAUGAUUUUAUUUUUUAAUGUAUAAAUGAACCUCCUAUGUUAGCUAAUUAUGAUAUAAAUUGUUAGAUGUAUAAAAAAUCAUCAUACAUUUAUGUGUUGUUUAAUAAUGGUUAUGAAUGAUUUUUAGGUGUAUAAGUUACCCUCAUACAUGUAGAGAUGUACUUUUAGUAGAGUCUAAUAUAAAUUGUUAGAUGAAUAAGUUACCCUCAUAUAUGUCUAACAAUUUUUAUUAAUUUUCGCAUGUGCUAUCAUACAUCUGAACCUACUGUCAUACAUUUGAACCAACAUAUCAUACAUCUGAACCAACAUAUCAUACAUCUGAACCUACUGUCAUACAUCUGAACCAACAUAUCAUACAUCUGAACCUACUGUCAUACAUUUGAACCUACUGUCAUACAACUGAACUAACAUAUCAAAAGUGUGGUCUUUAUUUUUCUAAAAAUAUAUUCCAAGACUUAUAAAAAAAAUUUAAAAAAAAUAUGGAUUCCAAUACUUUUCUUCCUCUCAAAUAUCAUUUACUAUUAGUAUCCAUCAAAAAGUUAAAGUAGCUAAUUAUUGCCAUCAAUUAAAGAAAAGUAAAGUAAUUUAUCAUUUCAAUUACCUCAAAUUAAGGAAAAAUUGUUUCAUCAUACAUUGACCAUCACACUUGGCAGGAUGUAUGAAUUAUUAUGCUGUCAUACAUGUUAAUCAAUUUAUCAUAUAUGUGAACCAACAUUAUACAUUUGAAUGCUUAUUGGAUCGGCACAGUUUAAUUCAUUAUACAAUGAUUUGAAUGUAUAACAACAUAUUAUACAUUCGCAAGUUUAAUGGAAUGACAAACUUUCAUUAUACAUAAGCUUUAAUAUAUGCUAACAUAUUAUACAAAAAGGGAGCAAAUGUAACAUUGAAAAUUUUCAUAACCAACUCAAAAAUAUUUUAAUAUUUUGACAUCCUAAUUUUUGCAAUCUUUAAUAAGAAGCAAAGGAAAAUAUCAUAGAACAGUGUGAUGGGUAUAUUCAUUUUGAUUUUAGUAGUACUGAAGAACGAAUAUAGAGGAAAUCUUUUUUUAAUCCAACAUUACAAUAAAAAAAAAAUUGAUCCAAGAUUACAUAAAAAAAUAAAAUAUCAUACAUGUGAACCAAUUUAUCAUUUUUGAAUGUUGUUUGUGUUCUUCAUGUUCUUCAAAGGUUGUUGAAGAAAACCAUUCAAAAAGCUUGUGUUCUUCAUGUUCUUCAGAGGUUGUUCUUCAUGGACAUAUAUCUCCCUAACAUAUUAGUACAAGUUAAAUUGUGAGAAUGAGAAAAACUUUAAGAGAGAGAAUAGAGAGAGAUAAAAAAGAUAAAAAUUAAUUGGAUGAUUCAAUUUUUGGGAUCUUGAUUCCUAAAUUACAAAAUCAGAAAAAAAAAAAUUAAGGCCAUUAACAUUGACUUUGAAAUUCAAAUAAAAGUAAAUAUCUUCAUCCAGCACGAAAAAAAACUAAAGCUAGCUAAUUAGGUCAUAGCCUUUGAAAUUCAAAUACAAGUUAAUGCUUUUAUCUAACACAUAAAAAAAUUAUAAAGCUAUCUAAUUAGAUCCCUAAUUUCAGGAAAAGUAAAGAAUCUAAUCAUUACACCUUCCUUAAAUUAAGGAAUUAAUGUUUCCCUCAUACAUCCGACACAUGUACAAGGAAUGACCUAAUUUAUUAGUAAGUUUGCUAAAAAUAGGGAGAAAGAAACCAAGAGGGAAAUAUAUGUAAUUACUUUCUUUAGUUAAGGGAUUUCUGUGGUUUGCCCACAAAAAUUCUUGAGCAACCCAAUAAUGGGCUCCAAACAUUGACCAGGAUCUCUUCCAUAGACUCGUAUUGUUGUAUCCUUGAGUUCUAAGGAGACACGAAAUCAUGAAUUAUAAAACAUGAAUACACAAAACAUAUUAACUAUGUGGUAGUAUUUUUCAAGGAGC